GACAGAGGGUGCAAACGUUGUUCGGAAUUACUGGGCGUAAAGCGCGUGUAGGCUGCUCAGAAAGUCGGAUGUGAAAGCCCUGGGCUUAACCUAGGAAGUGCAUUCGAAACUUCUGAGCUGGAGUCCUGGAGAGGAAGGCGGAAUUCUCGGUGUAGAGGUGAAAUUCGUAGAUAUCGAGAGGAACAGCCGGUGGCGAAGGCGGCCUUCUGGACAGUGACUGACGCUGAGACGCGAAAGCGUGGGGAGCAAACAGG
rnacentral:rRNA from 1 species